rnacentral:rRNA from 1 species
GACGAACGCUGGCGGCGUGCCUAAUACAUGCAAGUAGAACGCUGAAGGAGGAGCUUGCUUCUCCGGAUGAGUUGCGAACGGGUGAGUAACGCGUAGGUAACCUGCCUGGUAGCGGGGGAUAACUAUUGGAAACGAUAGCUAAUACCGCAUAACAGUAGAUGUUGCAUGACAUUUGCUUAAAAGGUGCAAUUGCAUCACUACCAGAUGGACCUGCGUUGUAUUAGCUAGUUGGUGAGGUAACGGCUCACCAAGGCGACGAUACAUAGCCGACCUGAGGGGGGGUUGGCCCACCCUGGGGUUGGACCACGGCCCAGGCUCCUACGGGGGGCCCCGAUUGGGAAUCUUGGGCAAGGGGCGGAAGCUUGACCCAGCAACGGCGGGGUGAUGAAGAAGGUUUUCGGACGGUAAAGCCUUGUUUUAAGGGAAAAACGAUUUUGAGAGUGGAAAGUCCACCCUUGGCGGGUUUUUUACCAGAAAGGGCCGCCUAACUACUG